rnacentral:rRNA from 1 species
GAUGAACGCUAGCGGCAGGCCUAAUACAUGCAAGUCGAACGGUAGAUCGGGUAGCAAUACUUGAUUGAGAGUGACGUAAGGGUGCGUAACACGUAUGCAAUCUACCCUCAACAGGAGUAUAGCUCGGGGAAACUCGGAUUAACACUCCAUAACAUUACGAUGUGGCAUCACAUUGUGAUUAAAACUCCGGUGGUUGAGGAUGAGCAUGCGUCUGAUUAGUUAGUUGGAGGUGUAACGGACCCCCAGGACGAUGAUCAGUAGGGGAACUGAGAGGUUGAUCCCCCACACUGGCACUGAGAUACGGUCCAGACUCCUACGGGAGGCAGCAGUGGGAAUUUGACAUGGCGCAAGCCUGAUCCAGCCAUGCCGCGUGAGUGAAG